rnacentral:rRNA from 1 species
CAAGACUGAAACUCAAAGGAAUUGACGGGGGCCCGCACAAGCGGUGGAGCAUGUGGUUUAAUUCGAAGCAACGCGAAGAACCUUACCAGGUCUUGACAUCCUCUGACAAUCCUAGAGAUAGGACGUCCCCUUCGGGGGCAGAGUGACAGGUGGUGCAUGGUUGUCGUCAGCUCGUGUCGUGAGAUGUUGGGUUAAGUCCCGCAACGAGCGCAACCCUUGAUCUUAGUUGCCAGCAUUCAGUUGGGCACUCUAAGGUGACUGCCGGUGACAAACCGGAGGAAGGUGGGGAUGACGUCAAAUCAUCAUGCCCCUUAUGACCUGGGCUACACACGUGCUACAAUGGACAGAACAAAGGGCAGCGAAACCGCGAGGUUAAGCCAAUCCCACAAAUCUGUCUCAGUUCGGAUCGCAGUCUGCAACUCGACUGCGUGAAGCUGGAAUCGCUAGUAAUCGCGGAUCAGCAUGUGCGGAUU